GCGGACGAGGGCGGGGAGGAGUUUGAGAUGGGAGGCGCCUGCAGGGGCUCCCCCAGUUCUGCGCUGUGAGCCGGGGCACAAAGAGCCCUCUGCACUGGAGCCGCAGGACCGCGGACCCGAGGAGAUCAGUUCUGGCAAAUGCUGUGAUUUCAGAACACAGGCUGGCAUCUACUCUCCAGCGCACCCACGGCUACAUUUCCCACCCCAUCUUUCCUCCUCUCUCUCGAUGACAGCUGGAGGCAUCUCCCCGCCCACCCGUGUGGUUCCGGACACAUUCAUGUGGCCGCCGUGACCCUUCCAACAUCAAAGGAGUAACCGAGAGUGCAAGCAAGUUCCUGAGACAGAGGAGAAGGAAGGGAAUUUCCAGGUUCUUCGGGAUGUUCAGGACCACACUGGGAAGCAGCCUUGCAGAUAAGUAUUCAAACUUCCCAGCCCACAGCCUACCAGCCUGCCCUCUCCUGGUCCUUGGAGCAAAGUACAGCAUCCCUGAAUCCCCAAGUCCAGGGAGAAAUCAGCGCUCCAGCUCAUUUGCUUUCCUAUCCCUAAGAUACAAAGAAAAAGCUUGUCCCCAUUUUAUGGGGCCCCAGAGAGUAAUUUUCCUACCCCACUUAUGACAUCAAGGCUAGUGUUUUACAAACUCCACCCCCAGGGACUUCUGAGGAGCUGAGUUUGGUAACUUCAUCUUGAGCACCUGUAGAUCUGGUGUCAGGAGGAGACUGGGGCCUCCCGGGGAUUUGGGCUGGCCCUUCCCUUCUUGGUUCUCGUCCUUUGUCGUCAUGUUUAUAACACUUGGCUGGGGCUCCUUUUCUUGCCUGGCAGUCAAGUGGGGACCUUGGCGCUGUGACCCCAGGGCACAUGCUUCUUGGUUUAAGGGUCUGAGUACAUCUCCAGCUCUGGGCCCGGGCCCUCAAGUCCAAGUGCUGACAGCAAGCUCUGAGAAUACAGUGGAAGGGCCCAGGCCUGCCAGCGGAUGAAGAUAACUUUGUUGCUGUUUGCUGUUUAGUCCCUAAGUCAUGUCCGACUCUUUGCCAUCCCAUCGACUGUAACUCCUCUGUCCAUGGGAUUUUCCAGGCAAGAAUACCGAAGUGGGUUGCCAUUUCCUUUUUCAGGGAAUCCUCCUGACCCAGGGAUCCAACCUGCAUCUUGUCUCCUGCAUUGGCAGGCGGAUUCUUUACCACUGGGCCACUGGGGAAGCCCUAAGAUAGCUGAGCUGUCAUCAGAAGAAAAGCUUGGGAGAUGGUCCUGGCUCAGGAUCUGUGGGCAUUCUCUGGUCCUCUCCACACUGGAGACAGUCGCUAAAGAGCCCCAGCCCACCAUCUGGCUCCCCAAGUUUUAUCUGGGGCAUCAGAAAAGAGGAUAGGAGAUGAGGGUGGCGGGGGGGUGGUGGGCAGAAAGAUAACUGAGGUUGGGCCUUCUGCUUCCCAUCCUCUGCCUCAAACUGCGGGUGGUUACUGCACUUUGGGUGAAUGUCGGGAUUGGGAGGACCCCGGGACCCAGAGGGAGGGGCCACUGGUCCAGCGCGAGCUGGGAUCAGAUGUCCAGCUUCCUGCCCCAGGGCUCGCCCUGCUCUCUCCGGGGCCCCAUGCUGGUGUUGGCAGG